rnacentral:lncRNA from 1 species
ACUGUCCUCAGCUGAACAAUUUGGUCCAUCACCUUAAAACGAAAACUGUCAAGGAACUAGCCCUCUUCCUUCCCUUAGGUGAACUCGUUGAAUUACUACCUUCCUCUGUUUUUGCUCUUGAUCUGAACCGUCUGAAAGUCACAGGUUUCACGGUUGUAGAACCACCAUGGUUUAUGGGAUUUGGGAACCUUACCUUUCUAGAAUUGAAAGAGCUAAUUCUACCCGUUAAUUUCCUUGAGACUUUUCUUCCAAAGUGUCCUCUGCUUGAAGAGUUGAGAGUUGUGGAAUGCAAUACAGUAUCUCCU